rnacentral:lncRNA from 1 species
AGUAAUCAAGCAUCAGAGGAGCCUGAGCGUAAUGUUAAUGUUCUGAGUGCUUCUGAAGUGACAGGAAGUGGUGCAUAUGCCCAGGGACAAAGCCAAGUUGAGGAGCAGAACCACAGUAGCUUGAGGAAGGAAUAGGUGAGAGAAAUAAGCUUCAAAUGAAAUAGGCUUUCGAUGUGACAGUGUUUACAGGAAACAUUAUGCUGUUACGAACUUCCCUUAGAAUCAACCCAUUUGUGAAACACCACAUUAAUAAGAGCAGUAUCUUUGGAGAUUGGAGAGUCCACCAAGGAUGCCCACUGGCUCCCUACAAAGUUUUUUAUGUGAGGACUCGGUCUCAGAUAUGGCUACUGGGAUUCUGUUCAAACUGAGUGAAGACAUCAUCAUCUUUCUUUGAGAUCUUCCUUGCUUUCUGGCCAAAGAAGUUAUUCCCUGACCCGACUUUCCAAAGAGUACUAGUUCCUUUUAGCAGUGAUUAGAAACCUGAUCUGAGUACUACUGUGUGUGCUUGUGACUAGUGUGGUUUUAUUGUUUCUAUGUCCUUUCAGCGAGCAGAUCUACAAUGAGGGAUACAUCUAAACAAAACUCCAUAUUAAUAAGUCCAGUUGAAAUCUAACAACAUAGGGUUCUUUCGCAUUCUCUUGCAUUCCAUAUUUGUAUAUUCGUUCACCCAUGGUGGCAACCCUGGCUAUUAGAAAUAUAAUUGUAUUUAUUUUGCUGUAUCCUACAAUAAAACAAAAAAAUUAAGAAUUACUAUACCAACAUCAUGAUAAAAAUACACAUACUAAGUAAAUCUGUUAUGUAAACUACAAGUGUGUUUGUAGCAUUUUUGUUUUUACACUAUAGCCUACUAAGUGUGCAAUUAGACUUCUUGCUCACUGGUUUCUGUUUACUUUUAAUUUUAGUAUUUACUCUUGUUUCCCUUCCUUUUUAAUUUUAUUUUUAAA